rnacentral:rRNA from 1 species
GACAGCAGUCGCCACGGGAAUACGUAGGGUGCAAGCGUUAAUCGGAAUUACUGGGCGUAAAGCGUGCGCAGGCGGUUAUAUAAGACAGAUGUGAAAUCCCCGGGCUCAACCUGGGAACUGCAUUUGUGACUGUAUAGCUAGAGUACGGCAGAGGGGGAUGGAAUUCCGCGUGUAGCAGUGAAAUGCGUAGAUAUGCGGAGGAACACCGAUGGCGAAGGCAAUCCCCUGGGCCUGUACUGACGCUCAUGCACGAAAGCGUGGGGAGCAAACAGGAUUAGAUACCCCAGUAGUCCCUGUCUCUUAUAC